rnacentral:rRNA from 1 species
AUUGAACGCUGGCGGCAGGCUUAACACAUGCAAGUCGUACGGUAACAGAGGGAAGCUUGCUUCUCUGCUGACGAGUGGCGGACGGGUGAGUAAUGUCUGGGAAGCUGCCUGCUUGAGGGGGAUAGCGGAGCGAAAGUUCCGAUAAUACCGCGUAAGCCCGAGAGGGGAAAGUGCGGGACCGCAAGGCCGCACGUGAGCAGAUGCGCCCAGAUGGGAUUAGGCAGUUGGGAGGUAAUGGCUCACCAAACCGAUGAUCUCUAGCUGGUUUGAGAGGACAAUCAGCCACAUUGGAAUUGAGAAACGGACCAAACUCCUACGGGAGGCAGCAGGUGGGGAAUAUUGCACAAUGGGGGAAACCCUGAUGCAGCAACGCCGCGUGAGUGAUGACGGCCUUCGGGUUGUAAAGCUCUGUCUUCAGGGACGAUAAUGACGGUACCUGAGGAGGAAGCCACGGCUAACUACGUG